UGUCGGGUAAGUUCCGACCUGCACGAAUGGCGUAACGACUUCUCAACUGUCUCAACCAUAGACUCGGCGAAAUUGCACUACGAGUAAAGAUGCUCGUUACGCGCGGCAGGACGAAAAGACCCCGGGACCUUCACUAUAGCUUGGUAUUGGCGUUUGGUUCGGUUUGUGUAGGAUAGGUGGGAGACUGUGAAGCAGGCACGCCAGUGUUUGUGGAGUCAUCGUUGAAAUACCACUCUGAUCGUAUUGAACCUCUAACCUCGGACCGUAUAUCCGGUCCAGGGACAGUGCCUGGUGGGUAGUUUAACUGGGGCGGUUGCCUCCCAAAAUGUAACGGAGGCGCCCAAAGGUUCCCUCAACCUGGACGGCAAUCAGGUGUUGAGUGCAAGUGCACAAGGGAGCUUGACUGCGAGACCUACAAGUCAAGCAGGGACGAAAGUCGGGACUAGUGAUCCGGCACCUCUGAGUGGAAGGGGUGUCGCUCAACGGAUAAAAGGUACCCCGGGGAUAACAGGCUGAUCUUCCCCAAGAGUCCAUAUCGACGGGAUGGUUUGGCACCUCGAUGUCGGCUCGUCGCAUCCUGGGGCUGGAGCAGGUCCCAAGGGUUGGGCUGUUCGCCCAUUAAAGCGGCACGCGAGCUGGGUUUAGAACGUCGUGAGACAGUUCGGUCUCUAUCCGCCGCGCGCGUCAGAAACUUGAGGAAACCUGUCCCUAGUACGAGAGGACCGGGACGGACGAACCUCUGGUGUACCAGUUGUUCCACCAGGAGCACGGCUGGAUAGCUACGUUCGGACAGGAUAACCGCUGAAAGCAUCUA
rnacentral:rRNA from 1 species